AACGCGAAGAACCUUACCACCUUUUGACAUGCCCGGACCGCCACAGAGAUGUGGUCUUCCCUUCGGGGACCGGGACACAGGUGCUGCAUGGCUGUCGUCAGCUCGUGUCGUGAGAUGUUGGGUUAAGUCCCGCAACGAGCGCAACCCUCGCCUUUAGUUGCCAUCAUUAAGUUGGGAACUCUAAAGGUACCGCCGGUGGUAAGCCGGAGGAAGGUGGGGAUGAUGUCAAGUCCUCAUGGCCCUUACAAGGUGGGCUACACACGUGCUACAAUGGCGACUACAGAGGGCAGCAAACCAGCGAUGGGGAGCCAAUCCCUAAAAGUCGUCUCAGUUCGGAUUGCACUCUGCAACUCGAGUGCAUGAAGUCGGAAUCGCUAGUAAUCGCGGAUCAGCACGCCGCGGUGAAUACGUUCCCGGGCCUUGUA
rnacentral:rRNA from 1 species